rnacentral:rRNA from 1 species
UGGGGAAUCUUGGACAAUGGGGGCAACCUUGAUCCAGCGACGCCGCGUGGGUGGUAAGGCCUUCGGGUUGUAAAGCCCUUUCACCGGGGAAGAUGAUGACAUUACCCGGAGAAGAAGCGCCGGCUAACUCCGUGCCAGCAGCCGCGGUAAUACGAAGGGGGCUAGCGUUGUUCGGAUUUACUGGGCGUAAAGCGCACGUAGGCGGAUCGUUAAGUGAGGGGUGAAAUCCCAGGGCUCAACCCUGGAACUGCCUUUCAUACUGGCGAUCUGGAGUUCGAGAGAGGUGAGUGGAAUUCCGAGUGUAGAGGUGAAAUUCGUAGAUAUUCGGAGGAACACCAGUGGCGAAGGCGGCUCACUGGCUCGAUACUGACGCUGAGGUGCGAAAGCGUGGGGAGCAAACAGGAUUAGAUACCCCGGUAGUCC